rnacentral:lncRNA from 1 species
GAGAAGGGGCACAGGUGAGGUAGAUCUUCUGGAGGAACCACAGGUUGAAGGAUGAACAACGCCUAAUGAUUGUAUUGGUUGUCCGCAUCUUCUCAUGGAGAGAGGUUCCUUGGAUCAUGUGGGUAAUAGCCUUGUUCGAUGAUUCUCCAAAGAUUUGUUGAGCAAUGAUUCAAAUGAGACUUGAUGGAAAAGACCCAAUUAGUGAAAUCACCUUUAACAAGUUUAGGAGGAGGACCAAGGUCAUUAAUAUACGGUGUAGGGACCGGUCCUCCAU